GGAAUCUUCGGCAAUGGGGGCAACCCUGACCGAGCAACGCCGCGUGAGUGAAGAAGGUUUUCGGAUCGUAAAGCUCUGUUGUAAGAGAAGAACGUGUGUGAGAGUGGAAAGUUCACACAGUGACGGUAACUUACCAGAAAGGGACGGCUAACUACGUGCCAG
rnacentral:rRNA from 1 species